ACUCCUACGGGAGGCAGCAGUGGGGAACAUUGGACAAUGGGGGAAACCCUGAUCCAGCAAUGCCGCGUGUGUGAAGAAGGCCUUAGGGUUGUAAAGCACUUUCACCCGUGAAGAUGAUGACGGUAGCGGGAGAAGAAGCCCCGGCUAACUCCGUGCCAGCAGCCGCGGUAAU
rnacentral:rRNA from 1 species